rnacentral:rRNA from 1 species
AUUGAACGCUGGCGGCAGGCCUAACACAUGCAAGUCGAACGAGUGGCGGACGGGUGAGUAAUGUCUGGGAAACUGCCUGAUGGAGGGGGAUAACUACUGGAAACGGUAGCUAAUACCGCAUACCAUCAGAUGUGCCCAGAUGGGAGUAGCUAGUUGGUGGGGUAACGGCUCACCAAGGCGACGAUCCCGAGCUGGUCUGAGAGGAUGAACAGCCAAACUGGAACUGAGACACGGCCCAGACGCCGAUGGGAUGCAGCAGUGGGGAAUAUUGCAAAAUGGGCGCAAGCCUGAUGCAGCCAUGCCGCGUGUAUGAAGAAGGCCUGCGGGUUGUAAAGUACGUUCAGCGGUGAGGCGUUACCCGCAGAAGAAGCACCGGCUAACUCCGUGCCAGCCGCCGCGGUAAUAC